AUCAAUUUUUCCCACAAAUUCAUAGUUUGCUGCAACGCAUAUUUGUCCCUACUUUGCAGAGAACCUGGCUGAGAGUUCACUGCUCAACAAGCUGCUCCACACCUCGCUGGUAGAGAACAGCCACCACGUGGAGCUGCUGCAGCAGGACCCCUCCUCCCCGCUCUUCUCCAUCAGAACCUUCGAGGAGCUGCACCUGGUGUGCACACCAUGGGCUUCACCAGGCCUUCGAAGAUCCCGGCGAAUGCUCUGCCCCUCUCGAUGGCACGUCCGUGAGUCCUGACCCCGCAGGAAGGGGUGAACCAGCCCCGGUGCUCUGCCUCCCUGUGGUGCUGGCGCACAGAGCCCAGACUUCUGCUGCUAACAUUUCCCUUGCAGACCCCAAAAUCCGAUUGCGCAGAGCCAGUCUGGGACAGGCAGAACAGCAGCAUUUGUCCUGGCCCUGCUGAGCAGAGUGAAAGGUGCUGAGAGGUACCCCAGGUAUGAGGCAGGGCACGGCCGCUGCGUGGGGGCAAAGAUCUGGGUUUGCCCCUGUUAUGGAUGGCUCUGGGGUGCUGCAGGCAGAGCUCUGGGUUCGUGUCCGUUUUGUAAUUGCUGUUGAUUAUAAUCUCAAGUAUCGUCAUUGCUGCUCAUCAUAAACUCAAGCAUCCUGGUUACUGCUCACUGUAA